rnacentral:rRNA from 1 species
UACAGAGGGUGCGAGCGUUAAUCGGAAUUACUGGGCGUAAAGCGUGCGUAGACGGUUGCGUAAGUCGGAUGUGAAAUCCCCGGGCUCAACCUGGGAAUUGCAUUCGAGACUGCGUAGCUGGGGUGCGGAAGAGGGAAGCGGAAUUUCCGGUGUAGCGGUGAAAUGCGUAGAUAUCGGAAGGAACAUCAGUGGCGAAAGCGGCUUCCUGGUCCAGCACCGACGUUCAGGCACGAAAGCGUGGGGAGCAAACGGG